rnacentral:rRNA from 1 species
UACGAAGGGGGCUAGCGUUGCUCGGAAUCACUGGGCGUAAAGCGCACGUAGGCGGAUUGUUAAGUCAGGGGUGAAAUCCUGGAGCUCAACUCCAGAACUGCCUUUGAUACUGGCGAUCUCGAGUCCGGGAGAGGUGAGUGGAACUGCGAGUGUAGAGGUGAAACUCGUAGAUAUUCGCAAGAACACCAGUGGCGAAGGCGGCUCACUGGCCCGGUACUGACGCUGAGGUGCGAAAGCGUGGGGAGCAAACAGG